rnacentral:sRNA from 1 species
UGAUUACCUACACCUACAAUAGCGAGCCU